UUGGACGGGGCCCGCACAAGCGUGGAGCAUGUGGUUUAAUUCGACGCAACGCGAAGAACCUUACCAGGGCUUGACAUCCCCUGACCGCGUAUGAAAGUACGUUUUCACCCUCGGGUGACAGGGAGACAGGUGGUGCAUGGUUGUCGUCAGCUCGUGUCCGUGAGAUGUUGGGUUAAGUCCCGCAACGAGCGCAACCCCUACGUUUAGUUGCUAACGCGUGAAGGCGAGCACUCUAGACGAACUGCCGUUGACAAAACGGAGGAAGGUGGGAUGACGUCAAAUCAUCAUGCCCCUUAUGUUCUGGGCUACACACGUGCUACAAUGGCCGGUACAGACGGAGGCGAAGCCGCGAGGCGGAGCAAAUCCGAAAAAGCCGGUCUCAGUUCGGAUUGCAGGCUGCAAUUCGCCUGCAUGAAGUCGGAAUCGCUAGUAAUCGCAGGUCAGCAUGCCGCGGUGAAUACGUUCCCGGGCCUU
rnacentral:rRNA from 1 species